UCUCAGUUCAGAUUGCAGGCUGCAACUCGCCUGCAUGAAGUUGGAAUUGCUAGUAAUCGCGAAUCAGAAUGUCGCGGUGAAUACGUUCCCGGGCCUUGUACACGCCGCCCGUCACACCAUGAGAGUCGAUAACACCCGAAGCCUGUGAGCUAACCUUUUAGGAGGCAGCAGUCGAAGGUAGAAUCAAUGAUUGGGGUGAAGUCGUAACAAGGUAUC
rnacentral:rRNA from 1 species